rnacentral:rRNA from 1 species
AUGUCGAGCGCGCCGACCACGACUCUGCCUCGGAGACCAGUCGUGCUCGAGAUGGAGCCCACGAGGAAGCGGGCGGGUGUGCGGAGGAGGGGGCGGAGCCCAAGCGCCCCGGCCGUGCAGCCGUGCCCCACCGCAUCGGCAACGGCGUGGCAUUCCGUGGAGAGACAGCGACGCCCGUUAUGGUUGGCCACGAGUAGAGCUUGUGCCACGGACGACGGGAACUCGACGGGUACAGGGCCGAGCGCGAAUCUUGCUCCCGCAAGGCCCACGGCAUUGACGUCCUCCUCGUCGUGGCCCUUGCCACCUUCACCACCCAGGUCGAGUUACCCUCCCGUGGCGACGAAGGUGGAGCCACCGGCGCCGAGGAGCGGGGAUAGCCCGAACCCGAGCGUCCAGGUCGUACCCUGCCGCGUCGGCGACGUUGUGGCACUCCUGGGAGAAAUGAGGGUGUCCGCUGUGGCUGGCCGCUACGUUAGCGUGCGCCACGAACGGGAGAAUGGCGAGGACGGGUCCGAGCGCGGAUCCUGCUCCCGCAUGGUCCACAUGGUUGAAGCCCUCUUGCGUGGUCGAGCGCACGGAUGA